ensembl:rRNA 5S_rRNA 5S ribosomal RNA
GUCUAAGGCCAAAUCAACCUAAAAAGCCCCAGAGCUCCUCUAAUCUCAGAAGCUAAGCACGGUCGGGCCUGGUAAGUAAUUGGAUUGGAGACGGCCUGGGAAUAACAGGUGCUGUAGGAG